UUCCUUGUCCUCCUCCUCCUCCUCCUCCUUCUUCUCCUCCUCCUUCUUCUUCGUUGUAGAAACCCGAAUCAGUUGCAGUGGAAGAGACCUCUGAGAUCAUCGAGUCCAGCCUGUCAGCGAUCGCCGCCUUGUCCGCUAGACCAUGGCACUGGUUGCCCCAUCCAAUCUUUUCUUGCCCCUCCAGGCACAGUGACCCCACCAGCUCUCUAGGCAGCCCAUUCCCAAUCAUCCUUUCCGUGGAGAAAUUCUUCCUAAUAUCGCACCCAAACCUGCCGCGGUGCUGCUGGAGAUGUCUCGGAGCCCAGCUCUGGCGGUGUAAACACGAGAGGGGAGCGGCGUGGCGGCGGCCCCGGCGGCCGGGCCGGGACCGCGGGGCCGCUCGGGGAGGUUCUGCAGUGCCCCAGGCGAGCAGCCGUGCUUUGUCCCGUCUCCGUAGUCGGGAGGAGACUCCACAUCUCCUGAGAGUGUGUGUGUGUGCAGGGCUGGGAGUUCAGCAGGGCGCGGGGGUUUGUGAGCAGGUGCUUUGCAAGCCCACAGUUCCUGCGGUUUCCAGCCUGGAAAUGCUGUGGGAAAUGCGGUCUCUGGUCUUCUCUGCUUUCUGCUGCUUUUGCCUGUACUACAGAUGCUGCUCCUGCGUAUUUGUAUCUUAAAAUCAGGAGCUUAAAGAAGUGAUAAACUGUUGCUUUGUGCCAGUUUUAAAAGGAUGAACAAUAUGACCCAAGCAACUGGUUACUUAACAGUUAUCCUAAGCAAAACAGAAAAUCUGAUGUGGAAUUCAAAUAAUAAAAAGUUGAAACAAAGGAAUACGAUGCAGAUCUAGAGUGUUUUAAUUAACAUAGCUACCAAUACUGUUUUGAGGAUGUACUUGACUUGGUGCUGCGUGAUAUUCUCAUUAUACACUGCCAACAAACCAUACAAAUGGAAUUUGCUGCCAUAUCUCAAGAAGAAAUCUUUAUGACAUCUUAGUUGAAAGAGAUGGUGUCUAAAAAGUCCCUAGCAGCAGUUUCCGUGUCCUGCUACAUUUUUGGCAAUGAUCUGGAAGCAGAUCCAAACCUGCUGCUGCAAAAAUUCAGCUCCUGGAUGAAGGGAAUUGUAAAUAAUGACGAGGACGGGGCACUGAUCAAUGCAGGUUUAUACAAGCAGCUUGUUCAAACCUAGAGAAUUUCCAUUCAUCAAACCAAAUAGCUGUCUAUCUUAAAACCCAGGUGUGGAGACCAUAACUGGAAAAUAAAAGACUCUGAAGGUAAUGACUUUGAGAAGGAUUUAAGGGUCAGAUAAGUAAGCUAUCAGAUAAGGGUUCUCCUCUAUGCUGCUAAGGCAGAAAAGGAUUAAUCAAUGUAUAAACAAAGGAAUUAAAAAGUGUUUAUUUUACCUCUCAUGUUUGACCUCAAAAAUACCAUCACAGAGUAGUGCAUACAGUGGUGGCUUUCAGAUUUUGAGAAGCACAUUGGAAAAUAAGAGAGAGCAAAAGAAUGAAGCAAAAUGUUCUGGUGGUUGGAGAAAAUACCUUACACUGGGAUGUUUUAAGAGCUCAGGCUGUUAAAGUUAUCUGGAAGAGAGUUGGAAGAUUGUAGUGCAUAGGAACACUGAGGGGAAAUACAGGAUCUUAAAGGGUUCUUUAAUCUAUUGAAGAAAGGCAUAAUAAGAAAUAAUGGCCAGAAGCAAAAGCCAGACAAAUUCAAGUAGGAAAUAAGACACAUUUUUCCAUGGUUAACCACCAGAACACAUUCCCAAGAGAAGCUCAGGAUUUGGCAUAAUUUCAUGUCUUCUGUUGAAGAUCAGAUGUAUUUUUGAAAAUUAGUUUUCAGCCGAGCAGAAGUUAUGCUUUAUUUUAUUGGAUGAACACAGGUUGAAAUCUGAUGGGCCAUGAUAAGCACAGCAUCAAGUUGAUCUGCUGGGACCAUUGUGUUUCCAAUUCUAAGUGCCAGAAGCAGACAUUUCAUUUAUUACCAUGAGCAUUAGAAUCAAUUCCUUUUUUUGCCUUGAAAUACCUACAUGCCAUAAAAAAGCUGAUCUGAAUUAAGCCUUUGGCUGCAGAAUAUAUUUGCUAAGAAAAUAUCUAAAGGUUUUGGCCUUUUCCCUCCUAAAUUUGCACUCUUGGGAUUACUUGGGAAAAUUUCUUUGCAUUUUAAUUUAAAUCUCUGAAGGAGUAGAUCCUUACAAGAAAAUUCAUUUAGUGCGUUCUGGUUCUCUUGGCCUUGAGGCAAUUUUACCUAUUUGAUGUUCACGUUGUGAAAUAUUUCUUGUGGGAUUAUUAUGCAGAGCGCUCAGGUAACUGCACCAAAUGAAUCCUGAUAGAUUUGCUAUAUUGUACAUUAUGUAUAUUUGUAUGUGGCAUAUGUUUUCAUCAUACAGCCUUAACCUCACUUGAGGCAUCAUAAUAUAAACAAUUCUAUUACCAACAGAGGAGCUGCUGUUACUGAAAGAAGGAUGAAUGAAAUAAAAAUAAGAUUUCAGAUCAGUAGCUUAGCAGAGAAACAUGAAAAAAAUCCACCCCCAAAAUGGUUCAUGAGCAAUUUUUCUGUCUUGAGACUGGAAGGUGUGCUGUCACUUCUCUGCCUUCUGAGAAAUGCUAAUCCUGCAAGAUACAUGUGCCUCCUAAUUUACAUGCUUCCCUGGCUCUUGGGCAGAAAAUGCAAAGACAGGAGCUGAAAAACAAGCUGCUGCCUCGUUUGUGCAUUUUCCCAGAGUCAAGCCACAAACAAUCUCCCCUUAAACACAGAACAAACUGAAAUCUGUUAAUUAACCAGAUGACGAAUUCUGGAAUGAGAUCUGAAUAACUGCACAGGGGGGAAAUCAGCGAUUACAAAGCAAGACUUGUCUUUAUGGUAUGUGCUUGGUAACUUAAAAAAGCAGAAAGUGUUUGUGUGUGUGCCUGAAACUUGUUUACUUUGACUUUGAACUGUUAGUGUGAAAAUGCCAUGACAUUAAUACCGAGGGAGCUUUUUUAAUUACCUCUGUACAUUUUAAGGCAAUUAACGAUCGCAGUGGGCACUCCAGGAGAGGGGUGGGGUGUGCCCUGACACUGAACUUGGACAGAAAUUGUGUUUCUUUGUAGUAUCUGCAGAAGAUGGCCCUAAGGCUGUUCUGGAUCCGUUUCAGCUCGGCACAGGAGGGCUGCCUGAGCUGACACCCAUCCCGUGCAUUUCCAAGGCCGCCUGGCAAAGCAGGGCACUCGCAGCGUGUUCUGCAGGCUGGCAGGAUUUGAGGAGACAGCUGUGGGGAUCGAUGGCAAAAUGAGGUGCAGAACACAUCCCACUUACAGCUGCUGCUGCCACAGCCCUGCCCCGCUGAGAGGAACAGCACCAGGAGUUCCUUCUUGAAGCAGAACAUCUUGCUUGGCACCCACUUAGAUGAGCACAGGUGAGUUGAGAAUAUCCAACAACAUCGCCAAGAGCCAUUUUUUUCAAUCUGGUGAAAAUGCCAGCAAUCUGCCUCCAUUAGUCUUGGAGUGUUACGUACUCCCAGUCCUGGGGAGGUUCUCAGGAAAAGGCCAGGUGUGCUCAGCACACACGGUGAUACUCAGAACAACUUGCCUGCCUUACUGCUGCACCCUUUUUCAGAAAGUGCUCAGAAUUACGUGUGUGUCUGUGAUAUUUCACAAAAUCACAGAAUAUCCUGAGUUGGAAGGGACCCACAAGGAUCAUCAAAGUCCAGCUCCUGGCCCUACACAGGACACCCC